AGGAAUUGUACGGGCGAAAUCCACUUUCGAGGAGAUCAAUUGAUAGUAGGUUAUUUAUAUACAAUAUGGAGGAAUUGUACGGGCGAAAUCCACUUUCGAGGAGAUCAAUUGAUAGUAGUUUAUUUAUACUCAAAUUACACAUUCCAAGCAUCAUCUUACAUCAUGAACCCCAUUUCUCAGUCAUGAAAUCUCAACAACAAAAAUCAAAACUUACAAGCAGCUGCCAAUCCGCAGCUAAUAAGGACUUGCUGGGAGCAUUUCAGUUUCAAAUGGGAAGAAGCUUUCAUGAAACCUCUUCAUUUUUUUGCUAGAGCUUGUUUCAGUCUAGUUAACUUAAACUUACGAUUGUCAAGUGGCAACCUUUUCGAGAUGAGGUCCUCGACCGGCCUCCUCAACAGCCAGCAGCCUUCAGAAAGUUGUCGUACGGACUAGAAGCUGGUAACUGGAAAUACUGGUGCUGCUGGUACUCCGCUCCGCACUGCAUUGUCCCGUUUGCAUUCGGAAGGUUUGCAAAGAAGUUUUCGUCCAGGAAUGGGUUUCCGCCCUG
rnacentral:lncRNA from 1 species